AGUUCAGAAUCCAAAUAUAAAAAUUAAAUACUUCAGGAACCACCAAUGAAUUUAUGAACCUAGUAUCCCCCACCCACCCAGGUUCCACUUCUCUCCCUCUCUUGCGCCAUGAGUCUCAGAGAGAGGGAGCCUUUGGCUUCUCCCUACUUCAUCUUCUUCAUGAUUUUAGGCGCUGCUUUUUUCUCUGAAACACUAGCUGCUGAUUUAGUUUCCAAUAUGGACAAAAAGCAUACUGUUCCAGCGGAAAAUAUCACUUGCAAAGAAAAAGAAAAAGUUAGCCAAGUUUAUGUGCUCAAGGAGGCACUAAAAUUCCUCGACGAAGAUUUUUUCAACAACUCAAAAAUUCGAGAAAUGACAAAUGGUGCAAAGGAGUUCAACAUACCCGUCUUCAGAGAGAAUCAAAAAAUGGUUGCUUAUGAAGAUGGAGGCCUGCAUAAUCCAUCAGUUUUAGUAUUCAAUGCAUCCUGGGGCAGCAAUGAAGCUCCGGUGGAUAUUGAAAGAUUUAAUUAUCCUUUACUUAAAGGAGUGAAAAGGCCAAAGAAAGAAGAGGACAUCGCCUUUAUGUCGAUACUUGAAUUAGGAUCACUUAUUAGAACUAAGCAAAUCACUUCUUUGGAGCUGACUAAUAUUUUCCUUCGAAGAUUAAAGAGGUACAAUCAUGUACUUGAAGCUGUGAUAACAUAUACUGAAGAGUUAGCAUAUGCUCAGGCAAAAGAAGCAGAUAAGUUGAGUGACCAAGGAAUUUAUCUAGGUCCUCUUCAUGGAAUCCCAUAUGGGUUGAAAGAUAUCAUAGCUGUUCCUCAUUACAAGACCACUUGGGGCUCGAAAACAUUCAGAAACCAAGUUCUUAACAUUGAAGCUUGGGUCUACAAAAGGCUAAAGUUUGCAGGUGCAGUUCUUGUAGCGAAACUUGUUUCAGGAUCUCUGGCCUAUGAUGAUAUCUGGUUUGGGGGAAGGACUCGAAACCCUUGGAAUAUCGCAGAGUUUUCAACCGGUUCAUCAGCAGGCCCUGCUGCCAGUACCUCCGCAGGUCUUGUUCCUUUUGCCAUUGGUUCUGAAACUGCUGGAUCCAUGUCUUUCCCUGCUGCUCGUUGCGGUAUAACUUGCUUGCGCCCCACUUUUGGUUCUGUUGGACGAACCGGUGUGAUGAGCCUCUCUGAAAGCAUGGAUAAGCUUGGUCCUUUCUGCAGAAGUGCAGUUGACUGUGGAGUUAUAAUAGAUGCUAUUCGGGGGAGGGACCCCGAUGACCUCUCAUCUCGAAAGAUAUCACUUAAGGAUCCAUUCUCGAUUGACUUCAAGAAACUCACUGUCGGAUAUCUUGAAGAUGCCGAAAUGGAAGUUAUUCAUGUUCUUUCUUCCAUGGGUGUUAAUGUCGUACCGUUCAAGCUCAACUACACGGUUGAGACAGUGCAGGCACUUCUCAAUUUCACGAUGGAUGUCGAUAUGCUGGCACACUUUGAUAAGUGGCAGAGGUUAGGAUAUGAUGAUGAUUAUGAAGCUCAAGAUCAAUGGCCUGUGGAACUUCGUCGUGCUAGGCUAAUCCCUGCAGUAGAUUAUAUACAGGCUCAAAGGGUAAGGGGGAAGCUGAUUCGAGAAGUUCGAGAGAGCUUCACUGUCGAUGCAUUUAUCGCUAAUGCAACUGACUGGGAAAGGGUUUGCUUAGGAAAUUUGGUUGGCUUCCCUGUUGUCAUUGUUCCUACUGGUUUCAAGAGCAUUCAAGAUCCACCAAAAGGUGGUACACGAAGAAGAACGACGAUAACAACAGGCAUAUACGCACCUCCUGACCAUGAUCAUAUUGCUCUAGCAUUAGCUAUGGCAUAUCAGUCGGUUACCAAUCAUCACAAACAGCGUCCACCUAUCGAUAACCUGGGACCAAAUGAUCCAGUGCCUAUACGUACACGUAAAAAUCAGUUUGUCUUGAUAAGGUGAAAAUCGGUGAGACGAUUUGCUCGGUAAAUUUUGCUUCACCUGUUCUCUCGCCAUCAAGAAUUUGGACACCACAAUGAUAUGCAUUGCAUGUUGUUGCAACUAUUAGUAGAAAAUGACAAUUUAUCGAAAAUUUUCAUCGGCUAUGGUGGAAUUGUUUCCAACAAGUCACGGGUUCUAAUUAUCUCUUGAUAAUGAACAUCGUCGUUGUGCUUCACAUUCAUGUACAAUGAAUUAAGUCACAAGCCUGUCAAGGGAAUAGGGUGUUAUAACGGGCAGAUCGUCGUUGUGUGCAGCCCGGACCAGACAGAUCCCCGUGGUAGGCAGUUUGGUUGAGUUAAAGCGUAAAAGGUAGAGCGCCGCGGUAGGCACCCUUUCUAGGCAGACAUUCGCUAUAGGCAGUCUAGUUGUCAAGAUAGGGUGUGACAUUGCUUAAUUUCUUUGCAUAAUUUUCUUACUUUGACAAAAUUUACAAAAAUUUCAUUUCAAAUCAAG